GAUGAACGCUCGCGGCAGGCUUAACACAUGCAAGUCGAGGGGUAUUUAUCUUCGGAUAGAGAGACCGGCGCACGGGUGCGUAACGCGUAUGCAAUCUACCUUUUACAGAGGGAUAGCCCAGAGAAAUUUGGAUUAAUACCUCAUAGUAUAUAGACUCGGCAUCGAGAUUAUAUUAAAGUCACAACGGUAAAAGAUGAGCAUGCGUCCCAUUAGCUAGUUGGUAAGGUAACGGCUUACCAAGGCUACGAUGGGUAGGGGUCCUGAGAGGGAGAUCCCCCACACUGGUACUGAGACACGGACCAGACUCCUACGGGAGGCAGCAGUGAGGAAUAUGGGACAAGGGGCGCAAGCCUGAUCCAGCCAUGCCGCGUGCAGGAUGACGGUCCUAUGGAUGGUAAACUGCUUUUAGACGAGAAGAAACACUGCUACGUGUAGCAGCUUGACGGUAUCGUAAGAAUAAGGAUCGGCUAACUCCGUG
rnacentral:rRNA from 1 species